UACCUGGUUGAUCCUGCCAGUAGUCAUAUGCUUGUCUCAAAGAUUAAGCCAUGCAAGUCUAAGUACGAGCUCUCGUACAGUGAAACUGCGAAUGGCUCAUUAAAUCAGUUAUGGUUCAUUUGAUCGUACAGUUUACUUGGAUAACUGUGGUAAUUCUAGAGCUAAUACAUGCGAGAAGCGCCGACCUCGCGGGAGGCGUGCAUUUAUCAGACCAAAAACCGGCCGCGUCUUCGGGCGCGUUCGCCUUGGUGACUCUGGAUAACUUUGCGGAUCGCACGGUCUAGCACCGGCGACGGAUCAUUCAAGUGUCUGCCCUAUCAACUUUCGUCGGUACGGUAUUUGCCUACCGAGGUUCUUACGGGUGACGGGGAAUCAGGGUUCGAUUUCCGGAGAGGGAGCCUGAGAAACGGCU
rnacentral:ncRNA from 1 species